rnacentral:misc_RNA from 1 species
GAUGAAGAACGCAGCGAAAUGCGAUAAGUAAUGUGAAUUGCAGAAUUCAGUGAAUCAUCGAGUCUUUGAACGCACAUUGCGCCCUUUGGUAUUCCGAAGGGCAUGCCUGUUCGAGCGUCAUUAUCACCCCUCAAGCCCCCGGCUUGGUGUUGGACGGUUUGGUGGAGGCCCCCUCGGGGGCUCCUGCCCCUCCCAAAGACAAUGACGGCGGCCUCGUUGGACCCCCGGUACACUGAGUUCUUCACGGGACACGUAUCGGACACAUGGGUUUACGGGACACGGUCUGCCUCCCCUCAGGGAGAAUCUUUCUAAGGUUGACCUCGGAUCAGGUAGGGAUACCCGCUGAACUUAAGCAUAUCAAUAAGCGGAGGA